rnacentral:rRNA from 1 species
GGAGGAAAAGAAACUAACAAGGAUUCCCCUAGUAACUGCGAGUGAAGAGGGAAAAGCUCAAAUUUAAAAUCUGGCAGUCUCUGAUUGUCCGAGUUGUAAUUUAGAGAAGUGUUACCCGUCGUUAGUCUGUGUACAAGUCUCCUGGAAUGGAGCGUCAUAGAGGGUGAGAAUCCCGUCUUUGACACAGAAUCUAAUGCGUUGUGGUAUGCUCUCAAAGAGUCGAGUUGUUUGGGAAUGCAGCUCUAAAUGGGUGGUAAAUUCCAUCUAAAGCUAAAUAUUGGGGAGAGACCGAUAGCGAACAAGUACCGUGAGGGAAAGAUGAAAAGAACUUUGGAAAGAGAGUUAAACAGUACGUGAAAUUGCUGAAAGGGAAACGCUUGAAGUCAGUCGCGUUAUCUGGGGAUCAGCCUUCCUUUUGGUUGGUGUACUUCCCAGUUGACGGGUCAGCAUCAGUUUUGAUCAGUGGAUAAAAGCUUGAGGAAUGUGGCAUCUUCGGGUGUGUUAUAGCCUCUUGUUGUAUACACUGGCUGGGACUGAGGAACUCAGUACGCCGCAAGGCCGGGUCUUUGACCACGUUCGUACUUAGGAUGCUGGCAUAAUGGCUUUAAUCGACCCGUCU